CCUACGGGUGGCUGCAGUGGGGAAUUUUGGGCAAUGGCCGAAAGGCUGACCCAGCAACGCCGCGUGAAGGAUGAAAUUUUUCGGAAUGUAAACUUCGUAAAUUAGGAAAGAAUAAGUUUGUACUAAUACUGCAAGCGAUGACGGUACCUAAUGUAAGCCCCGGCUAACUCCGUGCCAGCAGCCGCGGUAAUACGGGGGGGGCAAGCGUUGUUCGGAAUUAUUGGGCGUAAAGGGCGCGUAGGCGGUCAGACUAAGUCGAAUGUAAAAUACCAAGG
rnacentral:rRNA from 1 species